GGAUGAACGCUGGCGGCGUGCUUAAUACAUGCAAGUCGAACGGAGACUGUAGCAAUACUGUCUUAGUGGCGAACGGGUGAGUAACGCGUUGGUGACCUGCCCCGAAGAGGGGGAUAACAGUCCGAAAGGAUUGCUAAUACCCCAUGUGGUCGUUUGGAUUAGAUGCCUUACGACUAAACGGAUUUAUUCGCUUCGGGAGGGGCCUGCGUCCCAUCAGCUAGUUGGUAGGGUAAUAGCCUACCAAGGCGAUGACGGGUAGGGGACCUGAGAGGGUGGCCCCCCACAAUGGAACUGAAACACGGUCCAUACACCUACGGGUGGCAGCAGUAGGGAAUAUUGGUAAUCUGGGAAACCGGGAACCAGCAACGCCGCGUGCGCGAUGAAGGCCUUCGGGUUGUAAAGCGCUUUUUAAAGGGAUGAGGAAGGACAGUACCUUUAGAAUAAGCCUCGGCUAACUACGUGCCAGCAGCCGCGGUAAAACGUAGGAGGCGAGCGUUAUCCGGAUUUACUGGGCGUAAAGCGUGUGCAGGCGGUUUGAUAAGUUGGAUGUGAAAGCUCCUGGCUUAACCGGGAGAGGUCGUUCAAAACUAUCAGACUAGAGAGUGGUAGAGGGAGAUGGAAUUCCGCGUGUAGUGGUGAAAUGCGUAGAUAUGCGGAGGAACACCAGUGGCGAAAGCGGUCUCCUGGCCCAUUUCUGACGCUCAGACACGAAAGCUAAGGUAGCAAACGGGAUUAGAGACCCCGGUAGUCUUAGCUGUAAACGAUGUGAACUUAGUGUCGGUGGGGUUAAAUCCAUCGGUACUGAAGCUAACGCGAUAAGUUCACCGCCUGGGGACUACGGCCGCAAGGUUAAAACUCAAAGGAAUUGACGGGGCCCCGCACAAGCAGCGGAGCGUGUGGUUUAAUUCGAUGCUACACGAAGAACCUUACCAGGGUUUGACAUGCAAGUGGUAGGAAGCUGAAAAGUGACCGACCCUUCGGGGAGCUUGCACAGGUGCUGCAUGGCUGUCGUCAGCUCGUGCCGUGAGGUGUUGGGUUAAGUCCCGCAACGAGCGCAACCCUUGUCCUUAGUUGCUAACACGAAAGGUGAGCACUCUAAGGAGACUGCCCCAGUCAAUGGGGAGGAAGGUGGGGAUGACGUCAAGUCAUCAUGGCCCUUAUAUCCCGGGCUGCACACGUGCUACAAUGGCCGGUACAAUGGGUAGCGACACCGCGAGGUGGAGCCAAUCUCAAAAACCGGUCUCAGUUCGGAUUGAAGUCUGCAACUCGACUUCAUGAAGCUGGAAUCGCUAGUAAUGGCGGAUCAGCUACGCCGCCGUGAAUACGUUCCCGGGCCU
rnacentral:rRNA from 1 species